AAAUGAGUCCUGAGGGUAGCAACCAUUCACCUCCAAGUGGGAGGGCAUCAUUCUCUACCUCCACUCCCUCUGCCUUAGCUAUAGUGGAACUGCAGAGUAACCAUUCCUCUAACUCAGAAGUCAGGGAUGUGCAGGUGGAUGAAAGGGUUACUGUCACAAGAUGGUCUAAGAAACAUAGGGCUCGGAACCAGGGGAAGAGCACAGAAAUUAUAGAUGAUUGGAGAAAGAAAACUGUUGAUGCUCGAUCCCCAGGUUGGGAUGUUUCAGAUGCUGCAAAGAGCAUUUCAAAGGCUAAAAGAGAGGAAGCCAAAAUCACUGCAUGGGAGAAUCUACAGAAGGCAAAAGCUGAGGCAAAAAUAAGGAAACUUGAGAUGAAGCUUGAAAAAAAGAGAUCAUCAUCUAUGGAUAAAAUUAUGAAUAAGCUGAGAUCAGCCCAGAAGAAAGCCCAAGAAAUGAGAACCUUCGUAUUAUCCAACCAGGCAAACCA
rnacentral:misc_RNA from 1 species